UCCACUAAACUUUGGCUAAUCAUGCUUAAGCUUUAUUAAUUAAUGAUUAAUUAAAUUAAAUUUGAUUAACUAAUUAAUAACUAAAGUAUAUCAGACGAAAGUAAAAGAAAAACAAAACAUUUUAUUCUCUCAUCUUCUUCAACCGAAACAAAGAAAAGAAAUAGAGUUUGGGGAGCUUAAACUUUCGGCACAAAAUUGGUAAGUUGAAUUAAUUUUUCUCAUAAUUUUUAUAUUUUGAGGUCAUAAGAGUUUAAUUUAGUUAGUCCAUGUAACCAAUUUGUAAAAUUGUUAAAGUUUCUAAAAUUUUUUAUUGAUGAAUGCUUGAAGAAAUUGGUAUUAAUUGGUAAGAUUUUAAGCUUAGAUAUGAAAAGGGAUUAAGAUGUAAAGUAAAAAUUGUUAGUUUUGAACAUAGGGACUAAAGUAAAAAUAUUUCAAAAUUUUUAUGAAAUUUCUAUAAUUAUGGAUAGUAGAGGGUCUUAGAAGGAUGUAAUUCAGAUCGAUUUCAAAAUCGAAACUUAAAUUUGAAAGAUAUUGAAAUUUCGGUUUUAGAGACAAAAUUGAAUAAAAUGUAAAAUUUUAGGAACAUUCAAAAAUGAAAUUGAACUUAUACAUACUUAUAAUAGGAUGAAAUAAGAGGUUUGAAAUUGAUAAAUUUAAUUGAAUAAUUGUAUAGAUCAAAAGUGGACCAAAUAAAAAUAAACGGGUAGAAGACAAAUUGGUUGAAUAAUCCUUGAAGUUUAAACUUGUUUGUUGAUUUAACCGGUAAGUUCAUAUUUUAUAUUUGUAUUUAGAUUUUAUAUAUUUGAAUUACGAAUUUUGUAUAUUUAAUAGUAAUUUGAAUUGUUUGCAAUUUGGUACAACAGGUUAGAUAUGAACUAAAUCGUAAAGAAAUAAUAAAUUAAUUAAUAAAUUGAAUAUGAUGAUUGAAAUUUGAGAUAUUUAAUGAAUUUAUAGUUGAUUAUGAAUGAUCAAAUCAUAUUGGUAUGGAUUUAAUUGAUUAUCGAGAUAGAGGACUAAAUUGAAUAAAAUUGAAAAGAGUACAAUUUGGUGAAAUUGUGAAAUUGGCUUGGAAUUGAGAUGAAUCAUGCUAUAUUAUGUAUUAAAUGAUAUUUUGAUUGAUAAAUUGAUGACGAAUUUGGCUUGCUAAAGUAUAAAUUGAAUUGAAUAAUGAAAUUGAAAAUUGGUUACCCUAUUAGUUGUUUGGACUAUGUUGGAUGUGGUUGACAUGUCAUAGGGUCAAAGAGUAUUGUUGGUAGCCAUCAUUGUCGGGCAACCUGGGAUGGUAGUUUUUAUAUAUUGAUUCAUUGUUGUCGAGCAAUUUUGGGUGAUAGAUUAAUUGAGAUGAGACAACCAUUAUUGUCGGGUAAUCUGGAAUGGUAUUAUGCAUCGUUAUAGCGUCAUUGUUGUUGGGCAACCUGGGGCGAUGGAUCCGUGUAUUCGUAUCGAGCCUGUGUCAGGUUAAUAGGGUUAAAAAUACUAGAAUGAGUUAAUAGUAAUAAAAUUAAAUGUGAUAGAAAUAUAGAAUGUGAUACCAUUUAAUUUGAGUUGAAAAUGAUCCAUAGGGGUCAAAUAUGUAUGAAAGAGCUAUCAGGCUCGGAAAUGACUGACAUGUUAGAAAAAAUGAUACUUGUGAACUUAUUAUGAUAAUAAAUAGUGAAUUUAUGACAUUAUUCAUGAAUGGAUGUGGAAAUAGACUAAUUUCCAAUAAAUGAGAUUGUUCUAUGUUUGAAUUACUAUAUGAUAUGGUUACAUGUUGAUCUCACCUUGUUGAUAUGUGGUUUCCAUGUUUAGGCAAGCUUGUCAAGCUAGCAACUUACAGUAUUAAAUGGUAAAUUGAGGUACCAAAUGGCCUAAUUUGCACCAAAAUAGAGUCCACAUCGUGACAUCGGGAAAUGGUCGUCGCGACAAGCUCUAGACUUCAGACCAUGGCAUGACAAGGAACCUGUCAUCAGAAUGAGGCCAAGUCAGUAUGUCAUGUCACGAUAAGGAUCUCCUUCACGUUGCGACGUUGUUCUGAAAUUUUGAAAAUUUUACAAAUUGAUCCUUGUUUUGUUUGUAUACAUUAAGUUGUAAAUUGAAUGUUAAAUGUUUGUAGUUGCUCCGACAACGAAUGUCAAAUAAAUUAUUUAAUCGAUUUAAGUUUAUUAUAAAA